rnacentral:rRNA from 1 species
UACGGGAGGCAGCAGUAGGGAAUCUUCCACAAUGGACGAAAGUCUGAUGGAGCAACGCCGCGUGAGUGAAGAAGGAUUUCGGUUCGUAAAACUCUGUUGCAAGGGAAGAACAAGUAGCGUAGUAACUGGCGCUACCUUGACGGUACCUUGUUAGAAAGCCACGGCUAACUACGUGCCAGCAGCCGCGGUAAU